GUCCAGACUCCUACGGGAGGCAGCAGUGGGGAAUAUUGCACAAUGGGGGGAACCCUGAUGCAGCAACGCCGCGUGGGUGAAGAAGUACUUCGGUAUGUAAAGCCCUGUCAGCAGGGAAGAAAAUGACGGUACCUGACUAAGAAGCCCCGGCUAACUACGUGCCGGCAGCCGCGGUAAUACGUAGGGGGCAAGCGUUAUCCGGAUUUACUGGGUGUAAAGGGAGCGUAGACGGCGAUGCAAGCCAGAUGUGAAAGCCCGGGGCUCAACCCCGGGACUGCAUUUGGAACUGUGUGGCUGGAGUGUCGGAGAGGCAGGCGGAAUUCCUAGUGUAGCGGUGAAAUGCGUAGAUAUUAGGAGGAACACCAGUGGCGAAGGCGGCCUGCUGGACGAUGACUGACGUUGAGGCUCGAAAGCGUGGGGAGCAAACAGGAUUAGAUACCCCGGUA
rnacentral:rRNA from 1 species